rnacentral:rRNA from 1 species
AGCAGUCGCCGCGGUAAUACGGAGGGUGCAAGCGUUAUCCGGAUUCACUGGGUUUAAAGGGUGCGUAGGCGGGCAGGUAAGUCAGUGGUGAAAUCUUCGAGCUUAACUCGGAAACUGCCGUUGAUACUAUCUGUCUUGAAUAACGUUGAGGUGAGCGGAAUAUGUCAUGUAGCGGUGAAAUGCCUAGAUAUGACAUAGAACACCGAUUGCGAAGGCAGCUCACUAAACGCUCAUUGACGCUGAGGCACGAAAGCGUGGGGAUCAAACAGGAUUAGAUACCCGCGUAGUCCCUGUCUCUUAUAA